ACGGGAGGCAGCAGUGGGGAAUAUUGCACAAUGGGGGAAACCCUGAUGCAGCGACGCCGCGUGAGUGAAGAAGUAUUUCGGUAUGUAAAGCUCUAUCAGCAGGGAAGAUAAUGACGGUACCUGACUAAGAAGCACCGGCUAAAUACGUGCCAGCAGCCGCGGUAAUACGUAUGGUGCAAGCGUUAUCCGGAUUUACUGGGUGUAAAGGGAGCGUAGACGGCAUGGCAAGUCUGAAGUGAAAGCCUGGGGCUCAACCCCCAAACUGCAUUUGGAACUGUCAAGCUAGAGUAUCGGAGAGGUAAGUGGAAUUCCUAGUGUAGCGGUGAAAUGCGUAGAUAUUAGGAGGAACACCAGUGGCGAAGGCGGCUUGCUGGACGAUAACUGACGUUGAGGCUCGAAAGCGUGGGGAGCAAACAGGAUUAGAUACCCUGGUA
rnacentral:rRNA from 1 species